rfam:Candidatus Colwellbacteria bacterium RIFCSPLOWO2_02_FTLL_45_11 rifcsplowo2_02_scaffold_11996, whole genome shotgun sequence.
CCGCCCAUAGCUCAGUUGGUAGAGCAGUUGCCUCUUAAGCAAACGGUCCCAGGUUCGAGCCCUGGUGGGCGGA